UACGUAGGGUGCGAGCGUUAAUCGGAAUUACUGGGCGUAAAGCGUGCGUAGGCGGUUCUCCAAGUCCGUUGUGAAAGCCCCGGGCUCAACCUGGGAAUGGCAGUGGAAACUAGGGGACUGGAAUCUGGCAGAGGGGGGUGGAAUGCCGCGUGUAGCAGUGAAAUGCGUAGAGAUCAUGAGGAAGACCAGUGGCGAAGGCGGGUCUCUGGACAGUUCCUGACGCUGAGGCACGAAGGCCAGGGGAGCAAACGGG
rnacentral:rRNA from 1 species